rnacentral:rRNA from 1 species
UACGUAGGGUGCGAGCGUUGUCCGGAAUUAUUGGGCGUAAAGGGCUCGUAGGCGGUCUGUCACGUCGGGAGUGAAAACUCAGGGCUUAACCCUGAGCCUGCUUCCGAUACGGGCAGACUAGAGGUAUGCAGGGGAGAACGGAAUUCCUGGUGUAGCGGUGAAAUGCGCAGAUAUCAGGAAGAACACUCGUGGCGAAGGCGGCUCUCUGGGACGGUACUGACGCUGAGACGCGAAAGCGUGGGGAGCGAACAGG